GUGGUUGUAACCAGUCAGUUGGUUAGAGCGUGGUGUUGAUAACACCAAGGUUGCAGGUUCAAUCCCUGUAUGGGACAGCUGCA